CCUACGGGGGGCAGCAGUAGGGAAUCUUUCACAAUGGGCGAAAGCCUGAUGGAGCAACGCCGCGUGCAGGAUGAAGGCCUUCGGGUUGUAAACUGCUUUUAUAAGCGAGAAAUAUGAUGGUAACUUAUGAAUAAGGAUUGGCUAACUACGUGCCAGCAGCCGCGGUCAUACGUAGGAUCCGAGCAUUAUCCGGAGUGACUGGGUGUAAAGAGUUGCGUAGGUGGCAUAAUAAGUAGCUAGUGAAAUCUGGUGGCUCAACCAUUCAGACUAUUAGCUAAACUGUUAAGCUCGAGACCGUUAGGGGUAACUGGAAUUUCUAGUGUAGGAGUGAAAUCCGUAGAUAUUAGAAGGAACACCAAUAGCGUAGGCAGGUUGCUGGGACGGUUCUGACUCUAAGGCACGAAAGCGUAGGGAGCAAACGGGAUUAGAUACCCUAGUAGUC
rnacentral:rRNA from 1 species